ACAACACCGGGAUGGGCGAUCGCGUUCCAUAGCGACAACAGAGCGAGACGACACUUGGGAAACUCGUCAAGGAGCAAUGGAGCCUCCACGGACUCAUAUCGAUACCUGCUGGGCCGUGCCUUUCAUCACAGCAUGCGUGACCCUCCUGUUUGCAAUGCCGAAAACCAACAGUGCGGUUUUCUUCGUACUCUUCGUAGACGUUUUCGGCUUCAACCGGGAGGCCGCAUCCUGGCCAAAGACCAUCGAAUCAGCCACUAGUAACUUCAUGGGAUUCGCCAUUGGUGCGGUACAAGACAAGGUGUCCAUCUUCAGCGUCAUUGCAGUUGGUUCUAUUGUGUGUCCCGUUGCCAUCGUCGCUGCAGCUUUCACGACGGACAUGACUUGGCUGUCUGUUACCUUGGGAUUCCUCUACGG
rnacentral:lncRNA from 1 species